GAUGUGCACCGGUCCCGUUAUCUCCGUUAGUUUUGCUUGCAGGUUGGCUGAGAGCAGAGCGGGGUCCUGGGGGUCUGUCCAGGAAAGAGGAACAUCUCUGAGCAUCUCCGCAGGGGCUGAUGCAUGGAGGUGAUGGAGGACUGCAGACGCGCCAGCAGCAGUCCUCUCCGCUGGUUUGGUGACAAACACAUCCUUGCUCAGAUGCGGUGCCUGAAAUUUUGUAUUUCUCCAUCCAGCGCAGGGCAUGAAAAAGAAAAAGAAGAGGAAAAUCAAGAAUAAAAUCAAGAACCAGGAGCCUGCUGUGGAGCAGCAGCGUGAGGAGGUCUCAAGCACCUUUGACUUGUACCGCCAGGCAAUACUGGCUCUGAAGAUGAGGCAGGAGCAGAGGAAGCAGCCGUCUGCCAUCGCCCCCUGAGCAGGGAAGGCACAUCCCGGGGGAUGUGUGGUCCCAGGGGACCACAGACUGCAGUGACAACACACUCAUGCAGGGUUUCUGGGGUGCUUGGCCAGGGCUGGCAGUCCUGGGCAACAAGUUCUGGGUCAUGAACAGCAUCGUAGUCCUCUGCAUGGCUUGAAAACCAGGGAUCUGCAGGAGCGAGCCAAAAGUCCCUUUGUAAGAUGUCUCUCUGGCAGCGGGGCUGCAAACCCACUUGAAAAGGGAAUUGCCAGCCACUUGCUGACCCCGUGUUAGUAUUCUGUGGAAGAUUCGUUCUGAACCCAACAGAGUCUAUGGAAGAGAGGAAGAUCAGAGCAAAUGCCCAGGGGAAAAGCCUGUAUCUUGAAUUGCUCUAUGACCAGGCAAGCUGUCUUCACAGGUCAGGGCCUGACUUGGCCCCUCAUUCAGUCCCUGGCUGCUGCCUGGACAAGUCUCAUUUCUUGCUAGUGAAGAUGGGAAGACAGUCACAGGAUGGUCUGCAGAAGAGCUUCACCCGGCCCCCAGCCACCUCUGGCAGGGCUGUCAGGAGCUCCCUCACACAGUGGAGGAGGGUGAUGCCCAUGCGGUCUGAGCAUCUUUGCAGCCUGUCAGUGAAGGUUUAGUUCAGUGGCAGCUGGUGGUGGAGGCUGCUGGAGGCUCUUUCCCCAGGAUCGUUCCUCCUGAUCCUGCCAUCCUCCCAGGAAGGACAGUGGUCACCUGCAGGUGACACCAAAUCCUCCCAUGUCACUGACAGACUGGCACCCUGAAGCCCCAGGCAGUCCCUGAUCUAUGUUCAGCUCAGUUCUGAGACAGGACAACGAGCAGCAUCUGCAUCCCAACACAACCCGUCUGUGACAUGCAUCGUGUCUGGCAAAGCUGUGGUGUCGCGGGGACUGGGUCAUGCCAGAGAGCUCGUACUGCCUGGCUCUGUCUGAGUGCUCAAGCAGGGAAACCAACCGUUGGCCCUGGAAACACUUACGUGAAGUCAGGAGUGCAGCAGUUUUUUUUCUCCAUAGCUCCAACAGCGUGAGUCAUCUCUGAUUAACAGGCGAUGCCUUUGUGGUCCAGGGAAGAAAAAUCACUAAAGCCCUUCCCUCAGCAGGGCUGAAAAGAAAGGAAACUCUCGCUCCUCUGCCUUGCCAGUCCGCUGUAAAGUUCUGUCUAACUGCCAGAUUCAACUGUCAGUGACUAUUGGGAUUAACUGUAAAUAAAUUGUAAAUAACAAGAGCACAAAUUAAUUCUGGCCUGUAAAUACAGCACUUUAAGUAAA